GCCGUGCAAACUGAAGCUGCAAACAUUUGUCAGCUGACCGUCAACGCGCAGCCGCAGAAACACAGCGGUCAGCUGACCCUUAUCAAAGACGCGCACUUCCGGAAUACAGACAUUUCACAUUAAAAGUUGUAACUUUAGUAGGUGGCGAUAAUGCAUCCUACGUUUGUGUUCCCGCCAAUAAAAGAAGAAGAACAUUGGCGUGGCGUCCAUGGCAUGUGGAGAGUAGCACGCUUACACGAGCCGAAGACACGAGUUUGGGAUGCACGUGUGGACGAGGGAUCAUCCCAGUUUGUUGGAUUUCUAAAUAUCAUAGUUUGGAUUAUUAAAUAUAUUUAUUAAUUCAAGUCAUAUAUUUAAUUGUUUGUUACAAUAAACUAAAUGCAUUUCAAUAAAAUCUGUUUGUGUCUUAAAUAACAUAACUUCGUCGGUCGAUUAUGGUUUGCUGCUUGGGGAAGACACGUGGAAGGUUUUUUUAAGUUGUCCUCUAGUGGUUGGGGCUGAAACAAAUACUUAAAUUAUAUUUCUGUAUGUCUGCAACCAAAAAAUAAACUGGAAAAUAUCAAACAUACAGCCAUAAAAAUAAUACAUUUACAUUAACACAAUCUUUAAAGGGAUAUUCAGCCAAAAAUGAAAAUUCUGUCCUUUACACACCCUCAUGUUGUUACAAACCUGUAUACAUUUCUGUGUUCUAAGGAACACAAAGGAAGAUAUUUUGAGAAUUGUUUGUAACCAA